rnacentral:rRNA from 1 species
GGUGGUAAUGCCGGAUGCUCCAUCACACCGCAUGGUGUGUUGGGAAAGCCUUUGCGGCAUGGGAUGGGGUCGCGUCCUAUCAGCUUGAUGGCGGGGUAACGGCCCACCAUGGCUUCGACGGGUAGCCGGCCUGAGAGGGCGACCGGCCACAUUGGGACUGAGAUACGGCCCAGACUCCUACGGGAGGCAGCAGUGGGGAAUAUUGCACAAUGGGCGCAAGCCUGAUGCAGCGACGCCGCGUGAGGGAUGGAGGCCUUCGGGUUGUAAACCUCUUUUGUUAGGGAGCAAGGCACUUUGUGUUGAGUGUACCUUUCGAAUAAGCACCGGCUAACUACGUGCCAGCAGCCGCGGUAAUACGUAGGGUGCAAGCGUUAUCCGGAAUUAUUGGGCGUAAAGGGCUCGUAGGCGGUUCGUCGCGUCCGGUGUGAAAGUCCAUCGCUUAACGGUGGAUCCGCGCCGGGUACGGGCGGGCUUGAGUGCGGUAGGGGAGACUGGAAUUCCCGGUGUAACGGUGGAAUGUGUAGAUAU